rnacentral:rRNA from 1 species
UACAUAGGCUAACGAGGCGAACCGGGGGAACUGAAACAUCUAAGUACCCCGAGGAAAAGAAAUCAACCGAGAUUCCCCCAGUAGCGGCGAGCGAACGGGGAGGAGCCCAGAGCCUGAAUCAGCUUGUGUGUUAGUGGAAGCGUCUGGAAAGUCGCACGGUACAGGGUGAAAGUCCCGUACACGAAAACGCACAGGCUGUGAGCUCGAUGAGUAGGGCGGGACACGUGGUAUCCUGUCUGAAUAUGGGGGGACCAUCCUCCAAGGCUAAAUACUCCUGACUGACCGAUAGUGAACCAGUACCGUGAGGGAAAGGCGAAAAGAACCCCGGCGAGGGGAGUGAAAAAGAACCUGAAACCGUGUACGU